rnacentral:lncRNA from 1 species
CAAAUUUGGGCCUUUGCAAAUAACUAAGAGCAGAUGUGUCAAAUGGUUUUUAUUUCCUAGAAUUAACACUAGAUACAUGAACACUGAAGGAAGCUGCCUGCAUGCCCCCGCUGGGGGAGUCUCCUUGACCCUCUCAUCCUUCUUCUUCACCAUUCUCAGAGCAGGUCCUGUUUUCAGUUGUGCUGGAAUAAAUUGGUUUGACUGGAGCUUCAGUAGGCAUUAACCGGCACACAGCAGAGCCGAGGAGGGCUGGCUCUUUUCAUACCAUUCGCUGUGUACAGGCAGAUAAUGACUUUGUCUCUUACUUACCCAUUUUGGUUUUAGCCUCAUGUCACAAGUCCCUUCUACAUAGAGGGCUCACCCUACAACAUAACAUGUCUCCUGAUUCCUGCUGUAGCAGAAAUGUUUUUUGAGAGCCCAUUUAUAACUCUGUUCACACAAAAUGUGACAGUUUUAGCUGUAUUGGAAGACCAGCCUGACCCUGGCAGCCGCUAGCACUGUGAUCGGAAUAGUUAUCAGACAUACCCCGGUUUGUGAUGUCUCAUUGUGAUGCUGUGGCCAUGGAGGAAUGUAUUUGUUCCUUCAAUAAUGCAAUGCACGCAGCACUGGCAGCAAUCAGCAGCAGCAGGCAGCCCCACAAAAGCAGACAGGUGGAGUAGGACUCGUCUUGAAGUCGGGCACGCAAGUCUGAGCUAGCCAUCCUGGACUCCCCUCACGGUCAAUGGGGAAAAACAGGUUCUUUCAAAGAGUGACUCAUAUCAUCCUAAAAUAGGUCAGAGGAGCAGCUCUCCAGCAGCCUCUGACUCCUCUCCACAGACUAUAAAGGGAACCCGAGGGAGACUAGCUCAGAUUUAGGCAACUUAUUUUUGCUUGUCUAACAGUCAUUGGUAUGAAUCUCAGCCGGGCUGUCCAAAGUUUCUUGGAGUCAGUGGGAGUCAUGUCAAAGGACUCGGCAUCCAACAUUUCAUGUUCUUGCUGCCUACUGACACCUUUGGAUUUGAGCCAAGCGUCUAUCUCAACAACAGGAAUUUUCUUCCAAACUGCCUAUCCACCCCAGCCAGCAUUUGGUACAAACCCAUGGCCACCCAGGAACACCUGGCCUGUGAUUACAUUCAACAACAUGACCACUUGCAGCUUGACAUUGCCUGGAGAAACAGAACUUGGAACCACUUAUCCUGAAAAGCAUGUGACACUCGAGCUAAAGCGUUACCACUGGUGGCUGCCAGAAGACGGCACAUGA